rnacentral:piRNA from 2 species
UGAAGUAUAAACGGAUCCUCAGGGUGGC